GAUGAACGCUGGCGGCGUGCCUAAUACAUGCCAGUCGAGCGAACAGACGAGGAGCUUGCUCCUCUGACGUUAGCGGCGGACGGGUGAGUAACACGUGGAUAACCUACCUAUAAGACUGGGAUAACUUCGGGAAACCGGAGCUAAUACCGGAUAAUAUAUUGAACCGCAUGGUUCAAUAGUGAAAGACGGUUUUGCUGUCACUUAUAGAUGGAUCCGCGCCGCAUUAGCUAGUUGGUAAGGUAACGGCUUACCAAGGCAACGAUGCGUAGCCGACCUGAGAGGGUGAUCGGCCACACUGGAACUGAAACACGGUCCAGACUCCUACGGGAGGCAGCAGUAGGGAAUCUUCCGCAAUGGGGGGAAGCUUGGCGGAGGAACGCCGCGUGAGUUGUGAAGGUCUUCGGAUCGGAAAACUCUGUUAUUAGGGAAGAACAAAUGUGUAAGUAACUAUGCACGGCUUGACGGUACCUAAUCAGAAAGCCACGGCUAACUACGUG
rnacentral:rRNA from 1 species